rnacentral:lncRNA from 1 species
ACAAGUAAUCUUAGGAUAUGAGAGGGAUUUUGAAGAAAACAUGGGGUUGGGGCCAAGUAGAAUUAAUGGCUUUUACUGUGCCAAGGACAGUGUUUGUCAGGUAGGAGGCAAUCAAAACACAGGAACUUUCAUUUUACAUUUAUUAAUAGCUCCAUCUUGAAAUUCAACAUGUAAGAGGAAGCCAAGGUAUCAGAUACUCUUUGCUGCCUACCAGGAGGGCAUUUCUCCUUUCACCUUGCUUACAGACCCCUCUUUAAUCCAAGAUUCAUCUUAUGCCCACAGGCAAGGUGUUGGGGUUACAGGAAGCUCAGGAUGGAUGUCUACAUCUCCAAGGAACUAUCACUUUCUACCAAAAUGUGAGAAGAAACUCUGGAAUGCAAUGUCAUGAGGUUGGAAACUAUUGUGUAUUCCCUGCUUUCCCCCCAGUGCCCAGGACAGUUCCCAGCACAGAAUAGGGGCUCAAGAAAUGUCUGUGGAAUUAUUAAACAGGUCAAUUGAAAUAAACAUGGAUAUAUUUUAGAAUCGCACAAGCAUGGCAUAAAAUUUUAAAAAUCCAAACAGGUAAACAUAUCGGGAGUGCGACUUUAUAUUUUCUACCACUAGUGACAUUUGCUGCAAAUGUUUAAAGAGCUGCCUCUGAGGAAUAUCCCACUUGACUUUAAUUUGAGCCUUAUCACAUAUCAUUAAGACCUUUUCUUAGUGCUCUUUCCCGGAACACAUUUCUAUGCAGACAGCCCUUGUUCUCCAGGCCAGCAGUAGCUCUGAACAAGAGGGAAUACCCCAGCAUUUGCUUCUGAACUCCUUUUUCAUGAGCCAAAUCAGCAUCCUCAGGCCAAGAUAACUAGAAGGAAAUGGGAUCUUGAAUGGCCCAGUUGGGUGGCCUUUGCUAGUGCUAUUUCUCUCACCUAAUCUUGUUUCCUCUUGCUGAGAGCAUCCCUCUCUAUCCUGCAAAGCUUGCCUAAAAGCCCAUUCAGCUUUCCCCACUUCUCUAGGCUCCAGCGAGUGGGCUCUCAUAUCUCAUAAUCUGCAUAGUAUAUUAUCUUAUCUAUCAAAGGAAUUAAAACACCAAAUAGCAGCACAGGACAAAGCCAGGCAGAGCCCACAUCCUGUUUCUCCAACAGGAUGUGCAUUCUAUGAGGCAGAGGCCACGCUUUCUGCCUCUUUGUAUUUUGUGUUGUAAUAUCUCUGGGUUAAGUCCUGGUGAUGUUCUUAAUGCUUUUGGAGACUCAGUGUCACAGUUGUGAGAUGUGAACUGUACUAGUAACUCUUCUAUAAGGUUACUGUAAAUUUUGAAGAGAUAAAAAGUGUAAAGGGUCUCCACAAUAUCGAGUACCAGUUCACAUUCCAAAGCUCCCCUACUGUUAUUAGUACAUGGCAAGUACUCCAUCCUUAUUAGAAGAUUUAUUGAAUGAUCCACUCUCUGAUAGCUGAGAACAUAUUCAGUCCUCUUGCCUUAUCUAGAUGGCAGUGCUCCUGCUGCAUUUGAAACAUGGGCUUCCUCAGACUCUGCU